GUAGGGUUUCAUGAAAGCCUCUUGUUGGAACUCUAAUACUUUAUGUAUUUUUUUCAAUUUUAGACCGAGUUGGAGAUACAGUUGCAGGUUGCGAUAGUGAAGUACAUAAUUCUGUUUGUUUUCUAAAGUGGGGAGUGUUCGGGAGGGGUUUCCCCUGCCGACAACCAUCAAAUUUGGCAUGUUUGACCUGGUUUCAACAAGCAUUAUAAUACCCGGGAGGAAAUGAUGAUGAACCAGCCAGACAGCCCGCCUGCCACCCCGCCGAGCUGUACUUUGUGUAUGCCAACAUGCCGACAUGCUAAAAUUUGUUAGCACUUCAAGAUCAAUGGAAAAUUGUAUCCAAACUGAAGUAUAAACCAGCCUGGUUGCUGUAGCCACAGAGGAAUUUUCAAGGACAAGAACCAGUGCUGGUCAAAAUGUGGUCUCGUGUGGUUUUCCAUACCGGCUCUCAGCAAGGAUUUCCGAGAAAGGAAUACCGCCUUCAAAUCAUGAUGUGCCAAUAAGCUCCAGUGAGCUGCGGCUUUUUCCCCGGUGGUAGUCCUGCAAUAUGAAUGCAGGAGAUGCAGCUCUGAAUCCAAUAUUUCAGAAGAAUGAAGAUGUUAGUCAACUCUGUAGUACUUGUUUGUGUGUAAAUGAUUCCAAAGAGUGAGAUUUAUAGCAAAUAAGCAACUUAUAGACAAUGGUGAAGUGGCUGUGCUCCGAAUUUGAUGCCAAAUCUAGCCUUCAAAGCAGAUACUUAAAGUAAAAAGUUUUUAAAAAAAUGGGCAUAAUAAUGCUAUCUCUGCAUUUUCUACAUCAUGUAGGCACCUCAAUAAUCAAAACACUAGCAGUUGUCAUGAAUCUUUCAGUUUUGGUGGGUUUUUUCCAUUUCCUUUGUUGCGCCAUUUGUCCCAGAAGCAAACAAUUUGGCAUAUAGUGGUAUUUAAACUGUCUAUAAACACAUGAUCACUAACUUUCUUUUGUUAAACUGAACAAUUCUGUUACCUAUGUAUAUAAGUGGACCAGAAAAGCAAAAUUUUGACAAGUUGAAGCAUUUCAGUUUGGCUCGAUGUCAUUUUUUAUAUAAAACACUAAGCCGAUGAAGUGGAAAAACCUUAUUUUGCUUAGAAAAAAAUCUUAAAAGAGUAGGCAGGCCAUUUUUUGUGGUCUGUUCUAUAGACACUAUUUUGGCUACAAGGAAAACGUUACUUUGUCAAAUUAUUCCAAUGCAUAAGGAAAUAAUGGCUCUUCAAAAGUUUGCGGCUUACCAUUUGAGGGAAAUGGCUGUUUCUGCUUUUUUAUGAAAAUACCACAGGUGCUAAUACUUGUCUUAUUCAGUUAGUGUUUGAUAUAUCAUUGCCAAACUUUCAGUAUGUGUUGCAUAUAGCCUUAAGUUGAACUAUAGGGGUUUUGAAGUCUGUUUCUUAAAUGUUGCUUAAAUAGGCUUAAGACCACAGUUAUCUGCCCCCCGUUGACCAAGAUCCGGAUGUGAAUAUAGAAAAAAGAGUGCUUGUGUUGAAGUAUCAAUAUUUUAUUAAAGUUGAAUGAAAGAGAAGAAACAGGUGGCCUUUUUGCAUAGAGCUUAACAUAAUUUGACACUGUUUUGCAAAAACUGAUAGUUUUCACUGUAAAAAUUGGAAAAAUCAUUGCCUGUUGAACUUUGUUUAUUGGUUGUUUGUAGCCUUAUUCCGUCUUGACCUCAGGGUCAUGUCUUACUACUCAAUUUUGUGAGAAAACGCAAUAGUCCACCCUAUGUUUUCUUGUUAUUAAAUUUUGUGUCUUGGAUUGUUCUACAGCAGUCAGUUACUUGUUUUUCAAUUGGGACUGUUUUAAAGUAAGCCAGGUUAGUGUCUAAAUGGAACAUAUAUUCAAGAUAACUGUGGUCUCACACCACAUAGCAUGCGCUUCUAAAAAUAGGCAUUUUUUGGUUUCCCCAAGUCUGAGGUGUUAAGCGCUUAUUAAAAUGCAUUGUGAAUCUGGUUACAACCGGUGUUUGCCUUAUUUCUAAACGACAUUUGCAACAAAAUGACAGCUAUUAAAUGUGAACAAACAAUAAUUACAGAAUAAACUUAUUAAACUUAAAAAGUUGUGUUAUGGUAAAAAUCUUAUAUAUGUAUAUGAUUGAAACUGGGUUCGGUAUAAUAAAAUAAAUAUUGCAUGGCUUCCAGUGUAACAGUACAUAUUGUCAACAUUCGGGUAAAUAUUUAUAUAAUGACAUAUUUUGGGAUAUUACUCAGGACAAAAACAUUGUACAUAUAUGCUUAAGAAGACUUUAUAUCAAAGGAAUAGCACUGUUUUUGUCAUAGUUUAGGGAUAGAGUUUCUACCCUAUUAACAGCUAUUUAUGUAAUUUAUUUUCUGACAUGUGUGAUACCUGUUGUUGUUUUUUUCAUUUAUUGUGAUUUCUGAUGUUAAAGCUACACUCUCACAGAUUGAACGUUUUUACAAUUUUUUUUUUAUUUUUUGUCUUCGAACGAACAAGUUUUUGCGUAAAUAUCUGCAAACCAAUGAUACAAUUCUUCUGACAAAAGAUCAGAUCACAGCUUUUCAUAUUUCCGUCCCAAAAACGAUGUUUUAUGCAUUUUUAUUAAACCGUUAGUAAUGGUUUAAGCCAUAAAACAUUAAUUUGGAAUGGAAAUAUGAAAAUCUGCGAUCUGAUCUUUUCUCAGCAGUCAUUCAUCACUGGUAAGCAGAUAUUUACUCAAAACAAACUAAUUCCAAGACAAUUUUUUUUUUUUUAAUUUUGCAUUUUGAUAUUUUCCUCCAUAAUCAAAUGUGUGCAGAAAUGACAACCUCAAAUAAGUGGAUUUUUCUUUAAUUUAUAUCAAUGCUUUAAAGGAAAACAAUCAAAAACAAAAAGUCAUUGCUUUGGUUCAUGUACAAGCAGGAAAGUUAUUAACAACUUCUAAACUUGACAAUCAUGUACAUUACACUGCUUAAUUAAGACCAUGUAGUAGUAACUUUCAAUCCAUUAUUUUUUCAAAAGAUUAUCAGAUAUUCUUAGUAUAAGCCUUAAAUAUAUUUUAGCAUUAACUUAUUCAUUCACUUAUGUUGCCCUCCACAUUCAAAUGAUAAAACAAUUGAAACUUAUAAGGCUCACUUUUGUUUUCAUUUUCAUGCAUUUUUUCUGUUACUUUUUAUAUAUUUAUUUUCUAAUUACAGACUUAUUCUACAAUUAUACUAUAAACGAAACACUUAUGUGAUGGAAAUAUAUUGCAGAUAUUGAAAUGUGCUUUAAAAAUAUACUAGUUACUAGUUUUUGAAAAUGGAAGUAAACUCCUUAAAUCUUUUGGUUUGAAAAAAUGAAGUUUUAAUAAAAGUUGAGUAAUGUUCUUAUGUUUGACCCUUCCCUCAAUGGGCAAUUUAUUGCAUUCAUCUUUUUUAUAAAAAAAAUUUCCUUUACUUUUACUAUUUGUAUUUUUUUCUGUGUAAACGAUAUAGUUUUAUCAAAUGUGAUAAUGCUUUUGACAUGUGAUAUUAAAAAUAACUGUUGUAUAUACUGUUUAUCAGGGAUUAUACUCAUGCAUUUGGUCAAAGGAAUGUUUUACUGAUGUUGCAGUUAAAUCAACAUAUUUUAUGAAAUGGAUAGUGUUGAAGAUAAAGCUUCAAAUAUGAGUAUUAAAUGUUAUUGUUACAAGAAUAUAUACUCAUCUUUUACUUUUUUUUAAAAUGUCUUCAGUAUCAGCUGAAUGCUCAUGUUUAACCCUCAUUAUAAUUAUAUGCUACCUAGUUCGUGUUCAUAUUAAUUGAUAAUUUGUCUACUACAACAUAACUGUAUGCAUUUCACAUUACAAAUUUACAAUGGCCAUUUGCAUAUUUAUCUCAUAUUUUAUAGCUUUAGUUUAUGAAUGUAUGUAGAUAGUGUAUCUAUGUAAAUUAAGGACUCAUAAAUAAACU